rnacentral:lncRNA from 1 species
GUCACAGUGAAAGCCACCGUUGCCCGGGGAUGGGUCCCUGACACUUGGGGAAGUAGGAGCCCUGUGUGAUCGUACGUCUGAGUCUGGGCUGAGACCAGUCCUGGCCAGGGCAGUUACCAGGACGGUCUCCGGAGGCCGGGAUUCGCGGAGGGUCCAGCAGCAGGAAGAAACCCCAGGAGGAAGAAACCUCAGACAGAUCGCCGGCGAGGCAGCGCGGGAUCCCAGCCUCAGGCGUGCGCGGACGGUGUGCGGCGCACACAACCAAGCUUAGGAGCCGACUGUUAAGAUGCCCCAGUGACACGGACAAGUUUCUCCUCUGCAACCCAAUGAGAGCUGCUGACCACGAGAGCAUCGCGGGACCGCCAAAGGAUUCUGGAAAAUGUGGUCCCGGGUGGCCAGUGUGCGCUGACCUUCACCUGAAGGUACGGCUUGAAGGAAACUUCUGGAGGGUGGGGUGGUGUUGAAGAGAAGGCACAAUUGUCACCAUUUUGUUCAACAUGGGCGUUUUCUUUGUGCAUUGAUUUGCAUUUUUAAAGGAACUCCUCCUCAAAACAGAAGAAGCCUAUAGGAUUUUAACCUGGAAACUACUCAGGGAAUCUGGAAUAUUCCUUCCAGGGAUAUCUGCAGCUGAAACCUGGCAGUAAUUUAAACAAAACCAGACAACUCUUGGGGUCUCCUCACUGUGGCGGGAUCCAGGCGCAGCUCUAGACCAAGAAAUGGGAGGAUUUUAGAGUGACUGAUGAUUUCUCUAUCAUCUGCAGUUAGUAAACAUUCUCCACAGUUUAUGCAAAAAGUAACAAAACCACUGCAGAUGACAAACACUAGGUAACACACAUACUAUCUCCCAAAUACCUACCCACAAGCUCAACAAUUUUAAACUGUUAGGAUCACUGGCUCUAAUCACCAUGACAUGAGGUCACCACCAAACCAUCAAGCGCUAAACAGACAGAAUGUUUCCACUCCUGAUCCACUGUGUGGAGAAGCACAGAGCUUACCCACUGGGGCCCUGCAUCAGAAGAGAUGCACAUGCACCGGGGUGUGCAUUUGAACGGAGCGAUCAAACCACCAUCCCCACAGCUCCUCUGUUCAUGGGCACUGCAGUCUGUGGCCUCAUGUCCUUUGGGGGACACAGUGGGAAGGUAACCCACAUUUCAGUGACACCAUCAAGAAAAACACACUGUGGCAAUUUGCCCUGAUUUCUCAUGGGCCUUUUCUCUUUUCCCUUUGGGUUGUAUAGACUUCCCUACUGUCCACCUGACCACUCUCAUGCUGCCCAAAACCAUAGCUUAAGUCAUCAGCUAGGCGUUUCUUGGUGUAACUAUCGAAAGGUGAGCCUUAC